AGACUUAGUCUGUUCAGAUUUCGUUGUGGCUUGAAGUUGCGCAAGAGUGGGGGAGGUUAGGUUAGGGACGUUUGAAUGUUCAGAGUUUGAGGUUAGGUCAUAGUAUGGAUGAGAAAUGGGAGUAGAUGAGGGAGGUGAUAUAGGUUCAUUUAGAAACCUGACAUCAGAUUCAUGGAUUGAGGUGGUUGUUAGGUUAAAUUUUGGUAGUAGGGGUGAGGAUGUGUUUGGUUCAGAAGUGUGGGGUUUU
rnacentral:lncRNA from 1 species